UACGUAGGGGGCAAGCGUUGUCCGGAUUUAUUGGGCGUAAAGAGCGUGUAGGCGGCCUUACAGGUCAGCUGUGAAAACUCGAGGCUCAACCUCGAGACGUCGGUUGAAACCGUAUGGCUAGAGUCCGGAAGAGGAGAGUGGAAUUCCCGGUGUAGCGGUGAAAUGCGCAGACUAUCGGGAAGAACACCCGUGGCGAAGGCGGCUCUCUGGGACGGUACUGACGCUGAGACGCGAAAGCGUGG
rnacentral:rRNA from 1 species